GCCGGGGUGGCCGAACGGCUGAGGCAACGGCCUGCAGAGCCGUGUUAAGAGGGUCCGACGCGAGAGCGGGAAUCCCUCCCCCGGCU
rnacentral:tRNA from 1 species